ensembl:rRNA 5S_rRNA 5S ribosomal RNA
GUCUACGGCCAUACCACCCUGAACGCGCCCGAUCUCGUCUGAUCUCGGAAGCUAAGCAGGGUCGGGCCUGGUUAGUACUUGGAUGGGAGAAAUCCACACUAUGAGGAACGCCAUAGAAC